UACGGAGGGGGCUAGCGUUAUUCGGAAUUAUUGGGCGUAAAGAGCUCGUAGGCGGUUUGUCGCGUCUGCCGUGAAAGUCCGGGGCUCAACUCCGGAUCUGCGGUGGGUACGGGCAGACUAGAGUGAUGUAGGGGAGACUGGAAUUCCUGGUGUAGCGGUGAAAUGCGCAGAUAUCAGGAGGAACACCGAUGGCGAAGGCAGGUCUCUGGGCAUUAACUGACGCUGAGGAGCGAAAGCAUGGGGAGCGAACAGG
rnacentral:rRNA from 1 species